rnacentral:rRNA from 1 species
UACGAAGGGGCUAGCGUUGCUCGGAAUCACUGGGCGUAAAGCGCACGUAGGCGGAUUGUUAAGUCAGGGGUGAAAUCCUGGAGCUCAACUCCAGAACUGCCUUUGAUACUGGCGAUCUUGAGUCCGGGAGAGGUGAGUGGAACUGCGAGUGUAGAGGUGAAAUUCGUAGAUAUUCGCAAGAACACCAGUGGCGAAGGCGGCUCACUGGCCCGGUACUGACGCUGAGACACGAAAGCGUGGGUAGGCAAACAGGA